rnacentral:RNase_P_RNA from 1 species
UCUGGAAGGUAAGGGUGGAAGGGCAGUGUAAGAGACUACCGCCUCUCUGGUAACAGAGAGGGCACAUGUAAACCCCAUCCGAAGCAAGACCGGAAAAAGACAAUGUGGCGGCCCGUCACGUCUUAGGUUGGUUGCUCGAGCCCAUCGGCGACGAUGGGCCUGGAUAGAUGAUCACUCAACGACAUAACCCGGCUUAUCGUUUUGCUUGCAUU